CUUUAAUAUAAAAAUAAUUAAAAAAAAAGGUUGUAUCUUAUCUACGUUACAAGUACAUCAAUGUCAUCAGUAACAUUUUAAAUAUGAACACCGAUUUACAAACAACACAAGCUGCAAACAGAAUUGAGGGGAAACACAAGCACGAUAAAUCUUUACAAUCACCCCAAUGAAGCGUUCGUGCAUUCUAAGCAUUUAUUCACCAUUUCAACCAUCGAGCAUAGCUGAAGUACAAACAUUCUCCUCCUAUUAAACAUGGCAGCUCAAUAUUAAAUCAAUGGAAAUGCCAAUAUCAUACAUCUUCUUUAACACAUCAGCUAGCACCCAUAAUUUCAUGACAGUCGAAUAUUUCUCUCAGUGCAUCAGAAAUCUUGGUGCUUCAUCACCACUAGCCUUUAAAGCAUUAGCUUCUCAUGAAUUAACUAUUCCUUCCUGCUUGAUCGAUCAAGGUGCCAACUUGAUUUCCAC
rnacentral:misc_RNA from 1 species